rnacentral:lncRNA from 1 species
UGUCAACCAAAGCACCACCUGACGAGGCAUUUAGCAUUUGUCUCUCAAUUGGAAGUAGUCUUUCUUAGAAAUAUUGAAUUAAAAGCUCUUCCUUCAUUUGAUGUUGUAGGCAGGAUGCAACUAAUGCCUUAAAACGCUCAUAGUACGCUGGAAAGGAUUCUCCUUGGCUUUGUUGAAUUCCACUAAUUUUCUUCCUCAAAAGAAUGACUCUUAAAGUUGGGAAGAAUUUCUCUAAGAAUGCUCUCUUCAUGCUUUCCCAAUAAGUGAUGGUUCCAGGUGCUAAUUCAUAGAGCCAAUCAUUAGCCUUGUCCAUAUGAGAGAAUGGAAAGGCUUUCAUCUUUAGAAUAUUGCCAUCCACGUUGAUUGGUGUCAUGCUUAAGCACACCACUUCAAAUUCCUUCAAAUGCUUGUUCAGAUCUUCCAUGGACAACCCAUGGUAUUUGGGAAUGUGAUGCAGCAAAC